AAGAGAAGGAGAUAACAAGUAACUCAUCAAUAAAAUAUAUCGUUCACCAAUGGAAAUGAGGCAAACAGUGAUUUCCCUCCCACCAAGCUGGUACACAAUAACUUGAGUCAGCAAUUGUCAACUGUUAUGUGGAAGAGGUAGCAGGGCCUGUGAAGGGGAAGAAAAACUCCACUUUGUGCUAGACAGGGUGAUAAAUACACAGAUGCUGGCUUCAGUAUAGUUAUGCCUGAAGCUGUCUACUUUUCCUGAUCAGACCAAGAAAGUAACACCCACAGUCUUCACUGAGUCUUACUCCCAGGUGUGUAUACACAUAUAUUUUAAACAGUUUCAGAGUAAAGAG
rnacentral:lncRNA from 1 species